rnacentral:misc_RNA from 1 species
UCCUCCUUACAGAGGCAGUUUGUUCCGAGUGCCACGGCAUUACCCGCUGGUAACAGAACAUGAGGGUUGCGCUCGUUGCGGGACUUAACCCAACAUUUCACAACACGAGCUGACGACAGCCAUGCACCACCUGUGAUCCUGCCCCGAAGGGAAGCCCUGUUUCCAGGGCGGUCAGGAACAUGUCAAACCCAGGUAAGGUUCUUCGCGUUGCGUCGAAUUAAACCACAUGCUCCGCUGCUUGUGCGGGUCCCCGUCAAUUCCUUUGAGUUUUAGCCUUGCGGCCGUACUUCCCAGGCGGAGCGCUUAAUGCGUUAGCUACGGCACCGCGGGGGUCAAUACCCACGACACCUAGCGCUCAUCGUUUACAGCGUGGACUAC